UCUGUUCUGUUCCAUUGAUCUAUAUCUCUGUUUUGGUACCAGUACCAUGCUGUUUUGGUCACUGUAGCCUUGUAGUAUAGUUUGAAGUCAGGUAGUGUGAUGCCUCCAGCUUUGUUCUUUUGGCUUAGGAUUGACUUGGCAAUGCAGGCUCUUUUUUGGUUCCAUAUGAACUUUAAAGUAGUUUUUUCCAAUUCUGUGAAGAAAGUCAUUGGUAGCUUGAUGGGGAUGGCAUUGAAUCUGUAAAUGACCUUGGGCAGUAUGGCCAUUUUCACGAUAUUGAUUCUUCCUACCCAUGAGCAUGGAAUGUUCUUCCAUUUGUUUGUAUCCUCUUUUAUUUCCUUGAGCAGUGGUUUGUAGUUCUCUUUGAAGAGGUCCUUCACAUCCCUUGUAAGUUGGAUUCCUAGGUAUUUUAUUCUCUUGGAAGCAAUUGUGAAUGGGAGUUCACUCAUGAUUUGGCUCUCUGUUUGUCUGUUGUUGGACACACACACCUUUUAAGGAUAAAACUAUAUUCCAUUAAAAUUAGCCCCACAUUUGUGAAUAUCUAACAGCAUUGGACUGACCCUCAGGCCAGAGGCUGUAGCUCUUGGAAGAUCCUAGCCAGGAGGUUCGAGAGUGGCCAGUACCUCGGAAGUGCUGGCUCACUCUGACAUCAUCAGAACCUGGCAUACAGUAGGCGCUCAUUGGGUAUUUGCUAUGGAAAUUAGGCAGGAAAGUGCGUCUGUGUCUGGAAACAAAGAGGCAAAGCUUAAGCAGUGAUCCCCAUGCAGAUUCUUUCUGCAAACUACAAAACAGAAGCUUCCCUAGUUCAGACUGCCAUCUACCUGGCUCUUUGUCCAAUUGUUUUUCAGCGGAUCCUGUUACAGUGCAAAGAAGAAAUGGCAAACGGAUAACAGCUACUGUGCCUAGAAGAUGGUUCUGCCCUGACGUUUCCUGGAAUAAUGCUGAGGACUGCCUUCCGGGUAGCCGCCCUAUUCAGUUCACUUCAUCUCGGAAAUACCUGACCCCUGCCUUGGAUCCAGCGGCCCUCCUGAGAGCUGAGGAAGGAGGAAAUCCUACGGGUCUCCUCCCGGAGCUGCCACAACCCAUCUUCCCACAACUCGGAACUUGGCAAAAGGAACCCAGGACGCGACUUUGCUUUUCUUUUGGACCUAGUUGGUGAUUAUACUCUGUCUCCCAUGGAGACCACGUCUUGCAUCCUUCCUUCUAUAUGGGAUUUAGGAUAGAAAUUAAAAAGAAAACAUAUUAUUUUGAGUCUUGAUUUGGAGAAAGGUAGUAUUCAGGAGGAAGUAGGCUAUGAUACACAUAGAAAAUUUGAGGACAGUGUUACUUAACAAGGACAUUUCUGUCUCUGCAGAAGUCACAGCUUGGAGGAAACCAGUUUGCACUGUUUGAUGAGGAAUUUGGCCACCAAACCACUGAUACUUUCCCAAAGGUUUGGCAGAAAUUGUUUUUUGAGUGGCUCACCAGAGUACCUAGAAGAAUCAGCAUGGAAUUAGAGGACAGUGGCCUACCCUAAAUAAAGACAUGAGUGAUGUGUAAAGUCUAGUGUCAAUUUAUUCAGAAAAUAUCAAAAUUAUUCUGGGAGCUAUGGGUCAAAGUUGAUAGGCACAAACAAACAAAAACAAAAGGUAUUUUAAAUUCACAGCUUGGAUAAGUAAAUGGGAGAUGUUGUCAUUUCUCUUCUUCAAUCCAACUUUAGAUUUUCAAGCCGGAAAAAGGGUAGUUAGAAGUUAGAAAUUGUUAUUGCCAGAAAAUAGCUCUAAACCCUGAAAAAAAACCAAAAAACAAAAAACUGACCCUUCUCUUGGGGAGUGAUAAACCUCAAUUACUGUUGAUAGUAAAACUGAUAUCAACUCUACGAAACCAGUGAAAGGUGAAUGGAAACCUUACCCUAGGUUAAGGUUUAAAAAAUGUUCAUAAUAUAUAUUUGAAAGUUCCAUUAUUUAGAAUAUUCAUUAGACAUGCUUUGUAAUGUUAAGUUACUUCAAAAAAUCUUACACAAGGGAAGGGAAGUAUGUAUUAUUCCUUCAUUUAAGAGAAAGAUAAUGUGUGAAUAUUAGUUAAUAUUUAUCGUACAUUUACUACCUGUUUCGAAGCGUAGUGUUACACACUUUAUUUCAAUUAUUUAAUUUGAUUCUAACAAUGAAUCCCCUGAGAUGGAUAAUAUCCUCUUCAUUUUACAGAUGAGACAAUUGAGACUUAAAGGUUAAACAAAUGAUUUCCUAAGCUCAUUCAGCUAAUAAACGGUAGGGGACUGCUUGACACCAGUCCAGUUGACCCUCAAAUCCAUGAUUUCUGCCACCAUAUUCACAGAAACAAGACAAGAGCUGAAAAUAUAGCCUGACUCUUGAAACAGUCAAAGAAUUGUGUAUGUUUAUGAAAGUUCUGAUUAAUAAGAUAUGCUGAGGACAAAAGACAAGGCAUGGGUAGAGGGGCAAUGUGUAGAUUAGAAUGUAUCACAAUGCCCACUAAAUAGUAAAACCAUAGAAAAUGAAAUUUAAUCCUUGCUGUGUAGAAUAUUUAGAGUAGAUUGUUUUUUCCUCGGUGUCAAUUACUAUUACAACUAUCAAAGAAUGAAAUUAAACAAGAAGCGGUUCCUUUGGUAUUUUUUUUUAAAGGUGGGAGUUAUAAAAACAGUAUUUGCCAUCUGGUUUUAGUUAUGGCUUUGGAAAUUCUAUGGGUACAAUUUGUUGUCAUUAUUGUUGUUACCACUACCAAUACAGAGAUGCUAAUUGUAACAUCAGUUUCUAAAUCAGAUAGUGAAUAAUUACAUUUUCGAUGUUUUCUUAACAUAGAUACAAGUUAACAGGAUAUGCUUCUGGCCUGUUUCUGGAUUCUAAGGGUAGAACCAGCAUAAAACUAGUCAGUCCAAGUAUUUCUAAAGAUCCACAGACACAGUUCUCCUGGAUUUGGGAAGUCUAGAGAUAUUAGCACAAUAAUUAAGGCCCAAGUGAGUAUAAAAUUUUGUCUGAAAUUAAAGAGAUAUUGAUUAGAUAAUCCACAGAGACUACUUUUUAGUGAUUAUCUUCCACCAGGGUAAAAGCAACAGCAACCUGAAAAUGCAAAAGACCAUACAUUUUAAUGGUAAGUCCUCCCCAGGAAGGAUUAAUAAAUCUCAGGAGGAAGAUUUAUUAUCUGUAAAUCCAGGAGGAAGAAAUCAAGAUGAAAACUAUCAUAUUUAUAGAUUUGAUUGUUGCAAUUUUAUAGUUUGACAUAGUGCAAUUGCUUUAGAUUUGAAAGGGAACUUACUUUAGAGUAAGUCACUCAAUCUCUUUUUUGGAAAGGCAAAUGCCACACCUGAUCCUCAUCACUCCCUUCUCCUUUGUCCAUAGCUUUAUUCUGCCAUUAACACACACACACACACACACACACACACACACACACACACACACACAAAUUGGGAAGAGGAUUUCUCAUUUUACAGAAAGUAUGCUGGGCUACACAGGAUAUUCUAUCAGGUUUCUUCCAGCUAUAAAAUUCUGAGACUAAAUAUCAAAUUAAAGAAAGUACUAAUUGUCUGCGAUGGGGGAUGUACUGCUAUUUGCUUCUAGUGGUACUCACUGCUCAUUUCCUAUAUUCACUGGUAUAAAAAAAUUUCAAACACCCUCAAAAAAGCCUAUACUGGUGGUACCAGAAAAACGCUGAAAAUCAUUACUCUCUGUGUGGUGUCCAGCUCUUUUGGUUACAUCAUCACUUCGACCAUUCACUUUUAAAGAAAAACUUUUGUGGAACAAAAAUGUAAAGAUUUUAUUUUUUUUCUUGGUGGCUUAGCACAGUGGCCUAAUGUGGCUGACCAUGUGCGCCUGUUGUGUGAGUCACUUAGACGUGCUUUGUUUCUUGGUCACAGUUGAUCCCUCAACUCAAGCAUCUCACCCUCAAAAUGUUUGGGACCCAAGUGGCAAACCUUGAGACGGGUUAUUUCUUUCACCUUGGAUUGGCUCAUCUGCUGGGAGUGGAGCCAAGCUGACAUUUCCUUUCCUUUCUCUCCUUUCUUUCCUUUUUGUCUGCCUAUCACUAGGUAGAGGCAGCACAUAAGAGAGGGAAAGCCAUGCGCGUGGAGUCCAGCACAUCACCCAGAAGGCAGAUGUUCUAUCUCCAUUUAACUCAUUAAAACAAACAAAACCACACCUGGAUUGCCUGCAACUUUUAAAAGCCUUUCCACUGCACAGUGAAAGAAAACCACAAACUCCUUAUUUAAUAACUGGGGUCAUAUGCUUUUAACAAGAGGAAAAGGUCAAGUCUGAAGCAACUGAUAUGGAACUGCCAGAGUAGGAGUUGAAAAUCUUCCUAAACUGCUGGAGGAUACACCUCUGAUAGCUUGAGACAAAUAUCCUCUUGAUCAUUGUUUCACCAUAUUUGUCUUUGCUCAUGGAGAACCAUUUUGAUCCGUGGUUUAGCCUCCCAGGAGAUUGAACAAUACCGGUGAUCUGAGGCAGACCCUCUGUGAC